GGGAGCUUAGAUGUGGAAGCUCUUUGGAAACCAAGAAACACUCUGAAAAUGAAAAGGCAUAAGAAUGUUUAUCACAGCAUGGCAUAUAUUGGAAGUUUAGUAAAUGAAGAUACAUCCAAUCUGACAUUCUAUUCACAACCACAAAGAGAUAAUGUAGAAACAUAUUUAGUAAUGUGAGAAAAUACUAAAUAUUAAGUGAAAAAGUGUACAAAAAGGGAAUUGAAGAGGAAGUCAAAUAAAGAAAAGAAAAUACUACCCGUGCAACUUGCAACAUGUACGGCCUGUGUCACCACACAAUCUGUGAAUAAUAAGAAGUUACUUUAAAUAAUACUUCAGCAGUUAUCUCAAUCAUGUGAUUUGUUUGAACUUCCAAGGCUAAUACUUUCAGCUCAACAGUUAUCUAUAUUAUAACAUACCGUAAUGCCUUAUGGAGAGUUAAAAAUUCUCAUUUCAACUGUCCUCUUCUGCAAAGCUUUAAUAAGUAAUGCAAAAAACUCACCCCCUUUCAUGUAUUGAUGAAUAUAGGUAGAUAAAAAUUUUAGAGGGAAAAAUAGGGGCUGGGUCACCAAUAUGAGAACAUAGAUAAGUA
ensembl:lncRNA SATB1-AS1 SATB1 antisense RNA 1